UACGUACGAGGCGAGCGUUAUCCGGAAUUAUUGGGCGUAAAGCGCGCGCAGGCGGACCGUUAAGUCAGACGUGAAAUCUCCCGGCCUAACUGGGAGGGGACGUUUGAGACUGGCGGACUUGAGGACGGCAGAGGUCGGUGGAAUUCCUGGUGUAGUGGUGAAAUGCGUAGAGAUCAGGAGGAACACCGGUGGCGAAGGCGGCCGACUGGGCCGUCACUGACGCUGAGGCGCGAAAGCUCGGGGAGCGAACGGG
rnacentral:rRNA from 1 species